rnacentral:rRNA from 1 species
GAUGAACGCUGACAGAAUGCUUAACACAUGCAAGUCGAUUCGAUUUACCUUCGGGUAUUGAGGAUGGCGGACGGGUGAGUAACGCGUAAGGAACUUGCCUCUUGGACUGGGACAACUGUUGGAAACGACAGCUAAUACCGGAUAUUAUGAGAUUCUCGCAUGAGAAACUUAUGAAAGCUAUAUGCGCCAAGAGAG